rnacentral:rRNA from 1 species
AUUUAUAUAAAAUAUUUUGGAUGAAUAUUUAUAUAAUAUUAACAUAAUUCAUAUUACUAUAUAUUUUAGUAUAUGAAAUUUUACUUUGAGAAAAUUAGAGUGCUUAAAGCAGGCAUAUGCCUUGAAUACUCCAGCAUGGAAUAAUAUUAAAGAUUUUUAUCUUUCUUAUUGGUUCUAAGAUAAGAAUAAUGAUUAAUAGGGACAGUUGGGGGCAUUUGUAUUUAACAGUCAGAGGUGAAAUUCUUAGAUUUGUUAAAGACAAACUAAUGCGAAAGCAUUUGCCAAGGAUGUUUUCAUUAAUCAAGAACGAAAGUUAGGGGAUCGAAGACGAUCAGAUACCGUCGUAGUCUUAACCAUAAACUAUGCCAACUAGAGAUUGGAGGUUGUUCCUUACUCCUUCA